rnacentral:rRNA from 1 species
AUUGAACGCUGGCGGCAGGCCUAACACAUGCAAGUCGAACGAGUGGCGGACGGGUGAGUAAUGUCUGGGAAACUGCCUGAUGGCGGGGGAUAACUACUGGAAACGGUAGCUAAUACCGCAUACUAUUAGAUGUGCCCAGAUGGGAUUAGCUUGUUGGUGGGGUAACGGCUCACCAAGGCCACGAUCCCUAGCUGGUCUGAGAGGAUGACCAGCCACACUGGAACUGAGACACGGUCCAGACUCCUACGGUAGGCAGCAGUGGGGAAUAUUGCACAAUGGGCGCAAGCCUGAUGCAGCCAUGCGGCGUGUAUGAGGAAUGCCUUCGGGUUGUAAAGUACUUUCAGCGGGGAGGCGUUACCCGCAGAAGAAGCACCGGCUAGCUCGGUGCCAGCAGCCGCGGUAAUAC